rnacentral:rRNA from 1 species
UGGGGAAUAUUGCACAAUGGGCGAAAGCCUGAUGCAGCAACGCCGCGUGAGUGAUGAAGGUCUUCGGAUUUGUAAAGCUCUGUCUUUUGGGACGAUAAUGACGGUACCAAAGGAGGAAGCCACGGCUAACUACGUGCCAGCAGCCGCGGUAAUACGUAGGUGGCGAGCGUUGUCCGGAUUUACUGGGCGUAAAGGGUGCGUAGGCGGAUGUUUAAGUGAGAUGUGAAAUACCCGGGCUUAACUUGGGUGCUGCAUUUCAAACUGGAUAUCUAGAGUGCAGGAGAGGAGAAUGGAAUUCCUAGUGUAGCGGUGAAAUGCGUAGAGAUUAGGAAGAACACCAGUGGCGAAGGCGAUUCUCUGGACUGUAACUGACGCUGAGGCACGAAAGGCGUGGGUAGCAAACAGGAUUAGAUACCCUGGUAGUCCACGCCGUAAACGAUGAGUACUAGGUGUAGGAGGUAUCGACCCCUUCUGUGCCGCAGUAAAACACAUU